AGCGAACGCUGGCGGCGUGCUUAACACAUGCAAGUCGCGCGGGAAAGAGACUUUCGGGUCUUGAGUAGAGCGGCGGACGGGUGCGUAAGACGCGGGUGACCUAUCCGAGAGGCGGGGAUAACCCAGCGAAAGCGGGGCUAAUACCGGAUGAGCCCCCAGGCGGAAACGCGCGGGGGCAAAGGAUGCUACUCGAUAGUGGCAUGUCCUCACGGAGGGGCCCACGGCCUAUCAGCAGUUGGUGUGGUAACGGCGCACCAAGGCGAA
rnacentral:rRNA from 1 species